GUCUCAUCACGUCCUCUGUUGGAGCGGGAGGUGCUGGGCUUUGUUCUGUGCCUGGCCAGGGCUUGGACUUCAUUCAAACUUUCAAAACUCGCUGGCAGCAUCACCUGAGCAUUUUUCAACCUGACGAGACAGCAGAUAUCGCUCAUGCAAAUCAUUCCAGGAGAUUUUCCCAGGGAGAUUCACAAACUGGCUGGGGAGCAAAAUAUGAAAAUACAUCAGAAGGUCUCAUUAGAUAGGAAUCCACUCACCGCAAUCGACAUCAAAACAAGGCCCUCAUGAGCAUCAUGCCCCUGGCUUGGAGGAUGGCGAUCGCGAUUAUGCUGUUACCACCUUGGGAAUGAAAGACAACCCAAAAGUAAACAGAGGUGCCAUAAGAGGAGUGGCGAGACCCAGAUCUGAUGUCAGAGUCCUGCACUCCAUACAGUACUUCAGAGCCCCACCGAACAUACAGUUAGACGGUGGGGGGGCUGAAUGGGUCUUGGUGAAGGAUUGUGGUCAUCCCUUUCUAACCACACCCCAGUGACAGCCUCCUCCGGCCAAUCAGGUGCAUACAAUCAGCCUUCACAAU